ensembl:lncRNA
GUCUGUGCUCCAAACGCGAAUAUUUCCUGUCUGGCUCUUUAUGGAAAAUCUGUGCUGACCCCUGGUCCAGGCUGCGGACCCCACAGGUGCAGGACUGCCUUGACCUUGGUCUCGAAGGGUUGGCAAGGAUCGUCCCCAGGCAGUGCCGAGCAGCGUGGAAGGACCAGACGAUGUUUGUCCCCUUUAUCUUCACCCCAGUCUCCCUCCACCCCAGCUGCUGCCACCAGUGUCCCAAACCUUCCAUCCCAAGCGGCUCUCGGCCUCCCCGAGGGCCCUUCUCAAAGCCUAGGAUUGUUUGUUCUCUUACUCAAUAGUUUCUGCAGAUUUUGUUCGGUGAACGGAGCCAGCGCCUCACGUUAACUCACCAUCUUGGCAGAAACCGAGUGCGCUGUGUCUUGGGAUCGGGCGCCGCCCACAGCCCGACCUCGACGGGCCCUGCGGCUGCUUGAACAGGUUACUACAGCCUGGGCUGCUUCAAGCAGCAGAAAUGUGCUCUCUCACAGGGGCCGGAAGUCCAAAAUCAAGGUGUGUGCAGGGCCGCACUCCUUCCAGAAGCUCUGGGAGAAACUGGCCUUUGCCUCUUCCAGGUCCUGGGGGCUCCAGUGGUCCGAGGCUUGUGGCCGCACCCCUCCAGCCUCCACCUACCUCCACACGUGUGGAGUGUCGUGGAGAGUCGGUGUCAUCUCCUCGUCUGUCUGUCGUCUUCUCUGUGUCGUCUCCUCCCUCUGCCUUUCUCUCACAAGGACACUUGUCACUGGAUUUAGGGCCCAGCUGGACUGUCCAGGACAAUCCCCUCCUGUUACCUGAGCAAAGCCCCUGUUCCCAAUAAGGUCACAUUCUCAGGUUCCGGGAGUUGGGAUGGCGAUGUCAGUUUCGGGAGCCACCAUUCAACCCACUGUUGUCACACUAGGAAAUCUUCUGUUUACAGAAACCAGUCAGUGGAACCCCCUUCCAGAGCCCCAAAAAGAGAGUAUGGAGCAAACAGGAUGGGCCCCCUGCCCCUCGGGGCUCAGCCUCCACAGAGACCGUGGGACUCUGCCCGCAGCCUGGCCACACUCACACCUAACCCCUGAGAGCUGGGAGGCACGGACACCCGGCCUCCCCCAUUCCGUCCCGGUGGCAUCGCCUGCCUCACCUUGUCCCCCAGCCCUCGUGGGACUGUCCCUCGAGUUCUUUCCUUCCCUCCCCACUCAAGGCCAGAGUACCCACUCUGUGCAAGGAAACCUCCAGUAGUGCCAGUUUAGGGGAGGAGGUCUGUGCCCGGGCAGCGAGUGGCUGUGACCGGACACCCGGGGCCCAGCGCCCGGACGCAGUGGAAAUGCUUCAGGAUCGAGAGCCAGGCCCGUGACCUCACUGAGCAGUGAUGCGAGCCCAAGGUCAAGGCCGCCCUGCACCUGUGGCGUCCACGGCAGCCUGGGCACCACCCCAGCGAGGGACACACGCCGCCAGACUGCAGGUUCCCAGGGGGGACACUGGUGGCAGCAGCCACAGCCGUGCACCCCUCCCACCUGGCCUUCGGAAACAGGGCUGAGCUUUUGAGGCUGAGGGAGCCCCAGAGCUCUUGUUGUUUUCUGGAUGUGGGAAGGGAUGCUGAAGACAAGGACUGGUGAGAACAUAAAUGACUAAUCAGGAAAACUAGAGACGUGACAUAUUCAGACCCCAAGCACGAAAGAGGUCACGAUCUCUAAUCCACACAACAGCCCCUGCAAGGUAGGUGCCAGCAGCUUGCCCUCUGAAUGAGAAAAUAGAAAUUCCACGAAGGUCGUAAGACUUGCUCAAGCUAGUAGCGCGAAGGCGGAUUCAGACUCAGGACUACAGGAACGCCAAAGGGGACGCUUUUUCUGCCAUAUGAGGGUGUCCAAUAAAUUGCAGAUUUCCCCCCACCCCCCGUGCCUCCCCCAGGACAUCGUCACGUGACUGCUGUGCUCUCCCGGAGUCCUCGAGGACCCUCCUCACAGCAGCCUCACCGCCCUCAGCCCCGGCAGACUCUUGAGAGCACACUUACUUACCACCCCAGCUCUUCAUCCAUAAUCCAGGCUCUCUCGGGGUUGGUGGUUGUGUCUUUUUGGCCCCUUUGUAAAAGCUACAGGGUUUGGGGUGAGAGCAGACCAGGGGUGGUGUUUGUUCAUGGAUGCUAUUG